GACGAACGCUGGCGGCGUGCUUAACACAUGCAAGUCGAACGAAGUGGGAACGGGUGAGUAAUACGUGGGUAACCUCCCUCCUUUUUGGGAUAAGCCUUGGAAACGGGGUCUAAACCGAAUAGAUGGGCUCGCGGCCUAUCAGCGUGUUGGUGGGGUGAUGGCCUACCAAGGCGGGGAAGGGUAGCCGGCCUGAGAGGGUGACCGGCAACAUUGGGACUGAGAUACGGCCCAGACUCCUACUGGAGGCAGCAGUGGGGAAUCUUCCGCAAUGGACGCAAGUCUGACGGAGCAACUCCGCGUGUGUGAAGAAGGUCUUCGGAUCGUAAAGCAAUGUUAUCAGAGAAGCGGUAACUGGUCAGAAAGCCACGGCUAACUACGUGCCAGCAGCCGCGGUAAUUC
rnacentral:rRNA from 1 species